rnacentral:rRNA from 1 species
CACCAAGGCAACGAUCAGUAGGGGUUCUGAGAGGAAGGUCCCCCACAUUGGAACUGAGACACGGUCCAAACUCCUACGGGAGGCAGCAGUGAGGAAUAUUGGUCAAUGGACGGAAGUCUGAACCAGCCAAGUAGCGUGCAGGAUGACGGCCCUAUGGGUUGUAAACUGCUUUUGUAUGGGGAUAAAGUCAAUCACGUGUGAUUGUUUGCAGGUACCAUACGAAUAAGGACCGGCUAAUUCCGUGCCAGCAGCCGCGGUAAUACGGAAGGUCCAGGCGUUAUCCGGAUUUAUUGGGUUUAAAGGGAGCGUAGGCUGGAGAUUAAGUGUGUUGUGAAAUGUAGACGCUCAACGUCUGACUUGCAGCGCAUACUGGUUUCCUUGAGUACGCACAACGUUGGCGGAAUUCGUCGUGUAGCGGUGAAAUGCUUAGAUAUGACGAAGAACUCCGAUUGCGAAGGCAGCUGACGGGAGCGCAACUGACGCUUAAGCUCGAAGGUGCGGGUAUCGAACAGGAUUAGAUACCCUGGUAGUCCGCACAGUAAACGAUGGAUGCCCGCUGUUGGUACCUGGUAUCAGCGGCUAAGCGAAAGCAUUAAGCAUCCCACCUGGGGAGUACGCCGGCAACGGUGAAACUCAAAGGAAUUGACGGGGGCCCGCACAAGCGGAGGAACAUGUGGUUUAAUUCGAUGAUACGCGAGGAACCUUACCCGGGCUUGAAUUGCAGAGGAAGGAUUUAGAGAUAAUGACGCCCUUCGGGGUCUCUGUGAAGGUGCUGCAUGGUUGUCGUCAGCUCGUGCCGUGAGGUGUCGGCUUAAGUGCCAUAACGAGCGCAACCCCUGUCUUUAGUUGCCAUCAGGUGAUGCUGGGCACUCUGGAGAUACUGCCACCGUAAGGUGUGAGGAAGGUGGGGAUGACGUCAAAUCAGCACGGCCCUUACGUCCGGGGCUACACACGUGUUACAAUGGGGGGUACAGAAGGCCGCUACCCGGCGACGGGAUGCUAAUCUUUAAAACCUCUCUCAGUUCGGAUCGGAGUCUGCAACCCGACUCCGUGAAGCUGGAUUCGCUAGUAAUCGCGCAUCAGCCAUGGCGCGGUGAAUACGUUCCCGGGCCUUGUACACACCGCCCGUCAAGCCAUGAAAGCCGGGGGUGCCUGAAGUCCGUGACCGCAAGGAUCGGCCUAGGGCAAAACUGGUGAUUGGGGCUAAGUCGUAACAAGGUAGCCGUACCGGAAGGUGCGGCUG